UUNUGAACUGGGUAGCUAGAGUAUNUCAGAGGGGGGUAGAAUUCCACGUGUAGCAGUGAAAUGCGUAGAGAUGUGGAGGAAUACCGAUGGCGAAGGCGGCCCCCUGGGAUAAUACUGACGUUCAUGCUCGAAAGCGUGGGUAGCAANCAGGAUUAGAUACCCUGGUAGUCCGCGCCCUAAACGAUGUCGAUUAGCUGUUGGGCAACUUGAUUGCUUAGUAGCGUAGCUAACGCGUGAAAUCGACCGCCUGGGGAGUACGGUCGCAAGAUUAAAACUCAAAGGAAUUGACGGGGACCCGCACAAGCGGUGGAUGAUGUGGAUUAAUUCGAUGCAACGCGAAGAACCUUACCUGGUCUUGACAUGUACGGAAGAACUCAGAGACGAGUUUGUGCCUUCGGGAGCCGUAACACAGGUGCUGCAUGGCUGUCGUCAGCUCGUGUCGUGAGAUGUUGGGUUAAGUCCCGCAACGAGCGCAACCCUUGUCAUUAGUUGCCAUCAUUUAGUUGGGCACUCUAAUGAGACUGCCGGUGACAAACCGGAGGAAGGUGCGGAUGACGUCAAGUCCUCAUGGCCCUUAUGACCAGGGCUUCACACGUCAUACAAUGGUCGGUACAGAGGGUAGCCAAGCCGCGAGGUGGAGCCAAUCCCAGAAAACCGAUCGUAGUCCGGAUUGCACUCUGCAACUCGAGUGCAUGAAGUCGGAAUCGCUAGUAAUCGCAGGUCAGCAUACUGCGGUGAAUACGUUCCCGGGUCUUGUAC
rnacentral:rRNA from 1 species